AAAUCGAGUCCUGCUUGCACUAAGGUUGCUAGCCUAUUUGUUUGUAUGAAGGGCCUUUCUGUUCUCGUCUACCGUGUAGUACUUCAUUUCCAGGUCAGAUUUUUUUUCUUCAUCUUGUCUUUUCUUCCUUCCUUCCCUCCUUCCUUCAUUUCUUUCUUUCUUCCUUCCUUCCUUUCCUUCUUCCUUCCUUCCUUCCUUCCUUUCUUUCUUUCUUUCUUUCUUUCUUUCUUUCUUUCUUUCUUUCUUUCUUUCUUUCUUUCUGGGGGAAUGGAACUACAGACAAAAACUGUAAAUCCAUAAUACUUCUUCCCAAGCUUGGCUUACAGGACCUUCAGUAGGACCCAGCAAUGUGCCUUUCAUGGGCUCUGCUUCUAAACAAGGGGAGGCUGCAGUGUAAACCAUCAAACAACAAAGAAAGCUUUACUCUGCUUAUCUUUAAUAUACCCUUCAGAGGUAGAGUCCCAUGCAAAUGAACGGAAUCACGUCUCUGUCAUUCUUCUGAUCUCAAGAACUGGGUUACCUGCUUCUGAGUUUAAAAUCUCCCAGAAAGCCUUCUUGGAGCCACUCUGCCGCUGUCGCACAAAGAGCAGAUUCUCUAGAAUUCCUGUGUGUCUAGACCUCCGCUCCCACCUCAAACUGAGGUGCGCGCCCCAGUCACCACCCCAGAGGUUUCUAGAAGGCACUUACCUCACCAACACAUUAGGAAUACAUUAAGGCCUGCUGUAUAUCCACCCUUAUCCCCUUCUUCCCUGCAGCCCUCACCCUGCAGCCCCGCCUGAGACCAGGAUUCAUGGCCUCUGACUUCAUUCAACUUGGAAACUAGCAAACGGUGAGAGUGACCAAGAAACUUGUCAUCAGGCAGGGCCUUUGUGAAAUGGCAGUGUAAUUAGCCAUUUCAUAUUUUUGUUAUUUCUUUUGCGAUUCACGUUAAAAAUAUGUUCCAUGAAUGACUGCCUGCUGGGAGUAAGGAGCCCCUGUCACUCAGCAGUCGUUCAGUGAACUAAUAAAUAUCUGCGCCAGCAAUCUCGCCUCCUGCCUCAGUUCCCUCUUCCCACCCGACAGCUGUGAGACCAGACCCCCACGCCACUCUCCACACUCCGUGGGGUCAUAUGGAUUACCAAACCAGGAAGGGAACCUCGCCCACCGGGGAGUCUCCACUCUGCAAGCUUCCUUCAGAGGCCACUCUGCCUCCUGUCUAUGAGGUCACCCAAAGACGGGCGUGGAAGGCUAUCUUCAAGCACGCGUUAUCAUAAGCAGCCAAUCCCCUGAGAGGAUUUCAGCUUUGGAGACUCCUAAGGGGAAAAUGCCACUUCAUCCACUAAGCCACAUCAGCUGGAGCUGGGAGGCACCCAGCUCACAUCUGCAGAACAGCUCGGACCAGGACCGUAUGUUCUGUCAGCGCUUAGGUGGGGCCCACUCUGCGGCCCUAGCCAAAAUUUCAACCGGGUCCUCCCUGCUUCCCACCCUGGCCCAUGUUCAUCAUCUUUACUGAGCAUCUCAGGAAAGAAACAGUAACCUCCCCUAAGAGGCUCACCCAUCUUCGUCUGCCUUAGGAAAACAGGCUGGAACCAUCAAAACAUGACAGGGGUAAAAGCUAUUUGGGAACCAGCUCUGUAGUCAUCUUUUCUCAUGACGUGGCCUUCUUACCCUGUGGAUUGUUGAAGGGAGAUAGAGCGGCAAAGAGCGAUUAGCCUGCUCCUCCCCACAAUAAAGCUGUGUUUUCAUGUAGGACGAAGGGUUGUAACCCAGCCUAUAACUGGAAAUUUCAAAGAAAGAAGAAAAUUCCAUGGCAACACUAGGAUCACCUCCCUCAGUCUGCACUUGGGGACCAGAGAACUAUCUUUUUUUUUCUAGAACUUGCUGAGAGAUUUUUUUUUUAAGAGGGUUCGUCUCAUUUUGUAUGCUGCUAGUGAGCUGCAUCCCUAGGAGUGCAUAUUAGUGGUUUUAACGUCUUCGGAACUUAUAAAAAGUCGGUCUUUCCUUCUGAGUGCAGUAGAUAAACAGCAAUAGAGAUUAGAACGGCAAACCCACGGCUCCUGGAACAGAACUUGAUCAGAAAGGAUAAAACGCAAACCAGCGGUUUCGUUAGCCUGUCCUGGCUCUCUUGUUUUUAAGCAGUCUUGGUUUGAAUCUACAAAACAAUAAUCACUUUAAAGCCCGGUAUUUCAGUAAGGAAGGGUUGAGCACAUGAACUUCAGUGGUGCUGCUCAAACUUGCUCUAGGAACAGGAUUUUCUCGAAGCAGUAACGGCCUCCAAUAGACGCCCUAACUGUGGUCCGGACUGCCAGGCAUCUGAUGUGCGGCUGGAGAGUGCACUAAAGAUUCUGCUGCAGCCAGAAAGGUCUUGGUCCCUGAAGGCACUUUUACAGAGGAAGAGUCCAAAAUGCCCCUUGCGAAUGACAAAGACCUGUUGGAGUGUGGAGCAUUAAAGAGCACCAAUGGGCCACAUCGAUGUUCUAAAAUUUUUCAGAGUAAAUAAUUUUGGGAAA